GCCUACUGCCAUACCACCCUGAAUGCGCCCGAUCUCGUCUGAUCUGGAAGCUAAGCAGGGUCGGGCCUGGUUAGUACUUGGAUGAGAGACCACCUGGAAAUACUGUGUGCUGUAGGCU
rnacentral:rRNA from 1 species